AGUCGAACGGUAAAUAUUUAGCAAUAGCAUAUGAGAGUGACGUACGGGUGCGUAACACGUAUGCAACCUACCCUUUACAGGAGGAUAGCUCGGGGAAACUCGGAUUAACCCUCCAUAAUAUAACUGGAUGGCAUCAUUUGGUUAUUAAAUUUACGGAGGUAAAGGAUGGGCAUGCGUCUGAUUAGUUAGUUGGCGGUGUAACGGACCACCAAGACGAUGAUCAGUAGGGGAACUGAGAGGUUGAUCCCCCACACUGGCACUGAGAUACGGGCCAGACUCCUACGGGAGGCAGCAGUAGGGAAUAUUGGUCAAUGGAUGGAAGUCUGAACCAGCCAUGCCGCGUGCAGGAAGAAGGCCUUCUGGGUUGUAAACUGCUUUUGCCAGGGGCUAAAAAGCCCAUGCGUGGGAAAUUGAAAGUACCUGGUGAAUAAGCUACGGCUAACUACGUGCCAGCAGCCGCGGUAAUACGUAGGUGGCAAGCGUUGUCCGGAUUUAUUGGGUUUAAAGGGUGCGUAGGCGGCUUUGUAAGUCAGUGGUGAAAUACGGUAGCUCAACUAUCGAGGUGCCAUUGAUACUGCGGAGCUUGAGUACAGAUGAGGUAGGCGGAAUUGACGGUGUAGCGGUGAAAUGCUUAGAUAUCGUCAAGAACACCUAUAGCGAAGGCAGCUUACUANGCUGUAACUGACGCUGGNGCACGAAGUGUGGGAUCAAACANGAUUAG
rnacentral:rRNA from 1 species